UACGUAGGUGGCAAGCGUUGUCCGGAUUUACUGGGCGUAAAGAGCGCGCAGGCGGUCGUCCAAGUCGCGUGUGAAAGCCCCCGGCUCAACUGGGGAGGGUCACGCGAUACUGGUCGACUCGAAGGCAGGAGAGGGUAGUGGAAUUCCUGGUGUAGCGGUGAAAUGCGCAGAUAUCAGGAGGAACACCGAUGGCGAAGGCAGGUCUCUGGGCCACUACUGACGCUGAGAAGCGAAAGCAUGGGGAGCGAACAGG
rnacentral:rRNA from 1 species